GGUGGAUGCCCUGGCAGUCAGAGGCGAUGAAGGACGUGCUAAUCUGCGAUAAGCGUCGGUAAGGUGAUAUGAACCGUUAUAACCGGCGAUUUCCGAAUGGGGAAACCCAGUGUGAUUCGUCACACUAUCAUUAACUGAAUCCAUAGGUUAAUGAGGCGAACCGGGGGAACUGAAACAUCUAAGUACCCCGAGGAAAAGAAAUCAACCGAGAUUCCCCCAGUAGCGGCGAGCGAACGGGGAGCAGCCCAGAGCCUGAAUCAGUGUGUGUGUUAGUGGAAGCGUCUGGAAAGGCGCGCGAUACAGGGUGACAGCCCCGUACACAAAAAUGCACAUACUGUGAGCUCGAUGAGUAGGGCGGGACACGUGGUAUCCUGUCUGAAUAUGGGGGGACCAUCCUCCAAGGCUAAAUACUCCUGACUGACCGAUAGUGAACCAGUACCGUGAGGGAAAGGCGAAAAGAACCCCGGCGAGGGGAGUGAAAAAGAACCUGAAACCGUGUACGUACAAGCAGUGGGAGCACGCUUAGGCGUGUGACUGCGUACCUUUUGUAUAAUGGGUCAGCGACUUAUAUUCUGUAGCAAGGUUAACCGAAUAGGGGAGCCGAAGGGAAACCGAGUCUUAACUGGGCGUUAAGUUGCAGGGUAUAGACCCGAAACCCGGUGAUCUAGCCAUGGGCAGGUUGAAGGUUGGGUAACACUAACUGGAGGACCGAACCGACUAAUGUUGAAAAAUUAGCGGAUGACUUGUGGCUGGGGGUGAAAGGCCAAUCAAACCGGGAGAUAGCUGGUUCUCCCCGAAAGCUAUUUAGGUAGCGCCUCGUGAAUUCAUCUCCGGGGGUAGAGCACUGUUUCGGCAAGGGGGUCAUCCCGACUUACCAACCCGAUGCAAACUGCGAAUACCGGAGAAUGUUAUCACGGGAGACACACGGCGGGUGCUAACGUCCGUCGUGAAGAGGGAAACAACCCAGACCGCCAGCUAAGGUCCCAAAGUCAUGGUUAAGUGGGAAACGAUGUGGGAAGGCCCAGACAGCCAGGAUGUUGGCUUAGAAGCAGCCAUCAUUUAAAGAAAGCGUAAUAGCUCACUGGUCGAGUCGGCCUGCGCGGAAGAUGUAACGGGGCUAAACCAUGCACCGAAGCUGCGGCAGCGACGCUGAUGCGUUGUUGGGUAGGGGAGCGUUCUGUAAGCCUGUGAAGGUGUGCUGUGAGGCAUGCUGGAGGUAUCAGAAGUGCGAAUGCUGACAUAAGUAACGAUAAAGCGGGUGAAAAGCCCGCUCGCCGGAAGACCAAGGGUUCCUGUCCAACGUUAAUCGGGGCAGGGUGAGUCGACCCCUAAGGCGAGGCCGAAAGGCGUAGUCGAUGGGAAACAGGUUAAUAUUCCUGUACUUGGUGUUACUGCGAAGGGGGGACGGAGAAGGCUAUGUUGGCCGGGCGACGGUUGUCCCGGUUUAAGCGUGUAGGCUGGUUUUCCAGGCAAAUCCGGAAAAUCAAGGCUGAGGCGUGAUGACGAGGCACUACGGUGCUGAAGCAACAAAUGCCCUGCUUCCAGGAAAAGCCUCUAAGCAUCAGGUAACAUCAAAUCGUACCCCAAACCGACACAGGUGGUCAGGUAGAGAAUACCAAGGCGCUUGAGAGAACUCGGGUGAAGGAACUAGGCAAAAUGGUGCCGUAACUUCGGGAGAAGGCACGCUGAUAUGUAGGUGAAGCGACUUGCUCGUGGAGCUGAAAUCAGUCGAAGAUACCAGCUGGCUGCAACUGUUUAUUAAAAACACAGCACUGUGCAAACACGAAAGUGGACGUAUACGGUGUGACGCCUGCCCGGUGCCGGAAGGUUAAUUGAUGGGGUCAGCGCAAGCGAAGCUCUUGAUCGAAGCCCCGGUAAACGGCGGCCGUAACUAUAACGGUCCUAAGGUAGCGAAAUUCCUUGUCGGGUAAGUUCCGACCUGCACGAAUGGCGUAAUGAUGGCCAGGCUGUCUCCACCCGAGACUCAGUGAAAUUGAACUCGCUGUGAAGAUGCAGUGUACCCGCGGCAAGACGGAAAGACCCCGUGAACCUUUACUAUAGCUUGACACUGAACAUUGAGCCUUGAUGUGUAGGAUAGGUGGGAGGCUUUGAAGUGUGG
rnacentral:rRNA from 1 species